UACGGAGGGUGCGAGCGUUAUCCGGAAUGAUUGGGCGUAAAGCGUGCGCAGGUGGCUAGUUAAGUCCGCUGUCAAAGCGUGAGGCUUAACCGCAUACAGGCAGUAGAAACUGACAUGCUAGAGGAUGGUAGGGGUUGAGGGAAUUCCAUGUGUAGCGGUGAAAUGCGUAGAUAUUUGGAAGAACACCAGUGGCGAAAGCGCUCUACUGGGCCACACCUGACACUGAGGGACGAAAGCUAGGGGAGCGAAAGGG
rnacentral:rRNA from 1 species